rnacentral:rRNA from 1 species
GGUUGAUUCUGCCAGUAGUCAUAUGCUUGUCUCAACGAUUAAGCCAUGCAUGUCUCAGUGUAAACUUUUAAACAGUGAAACUGCGAAUGGCUCAUUAUAACAGUUAUAGUUUAUUUGAUAUUGACUUUUACAUGGAUAACCGUGGGAAUUCUAGGGCUAAUACAUGCGUACCCGCAAGGGUUGUGUUUAUUAGAUUAAAACCAUCACUGCAGCAAUGCAGUCCAGUUGGAAUAAUAAUAACCGAUCGAAUCGCACGCUUUAUGUGGCGAUAAAUCAUCCAAGUUUCUGACCUA